rnacentral:rRNA from 1 species
AUGAACGCUGGCGGCGUGCCUAAUACCUGCAAGUCGAGCGAACAGAUGAGGAGCUUGCUCCUCUGACGUUAGCGGCGGACGGGUGAGUAACACGUGGAUAACCUACCUAUAAGACUGGGAUAACUACGGGAAACCGGAGCUAAUACCGGAUAAUAUAUUGAACCGCAUGGUUCAAUAGUGAAAGACGGUUUUGCUGUCACUUAUAGAUGGAUCCGCGCCGCAUUAGCUAGUUGGUAAGGUAACGGCUUACCAAGGCAACGAUGCGUAGCCGACCUGAGAGGGUGAUCGGCCACACUGGAACUGAGACACGGUCCAGACUCCUACGGGAGGCAGCAGUAGGGAAUCUUCCGCAAUGGGCGAAAGCCUGACGGAGCAACGCCGCGUGAGUGAUGAAGGUCUUCGGAUCGUAAAACUCUGUUAUUAGGGAAGAACAAAUGUGUAAGUAACUAUGCACGUCUUGACGGUACCUAAUCAGAAAGCCACGGCUAACUACGUG